AGACACGGUCCAGACUCCUACGGGAGGCAGCAGUGGGGAAUAUUGGACAAUGGGCGAAAGCCUGAUCCAGCGACGUCACGUGAAUGAUGAAGACCUUAGGGUUGUAAAAUUCUUUUAGUGGAGAAGAUAAUGACGGUAUCCACAGAAAAAGUCCCGGCUAACUUCGUGCCAGCAGCCGCGGUAAUACGAAGGGGGCAAGCGUUACUCGGAAUUAUUGGGCGUAAAGCGUGCGUAGGCGGCUUUAUAAGUUGGAAGUGAAAGCCUUUGGCUCAACCAAAGAAUUGCUUACAAAACUGUAGAGCUAGAGUAUUAGAGAGGAUAGAAGAAUUUCUGAUGUAGGGGUGAAAUCCGUAGAUAUCAGAAAGAAUAUCGAAGGCGAAAGCAUCUGUCUGGCUAAAUACUGACGCUGUUGCACGAAAGCGUGGGGAGCAAACAGGAUUAGAUACCCUGGUAGUCCACGCAGUAAACGAUGAGUGCUAGAUGUUAGAACUAUGUUUUAGCGUCGAAGCUAACGCAUUAAGCACUCCGCCUGGGAACUACGAUCGCAAGGUUAAAACUCAAAGGAAUUGACGGGGACCCGCACAAGCGGUGGAACAUGUGGUUUAAUUCGAUGCUACGCGAAAAACCUUACCAAGUCUUGACAUGUUAGUCGUAUAGCUAAGAAACUAGCUAGUCAGUUCGGCUGGACUAUCACAGGUGUUGCAUGGCUGUCGUCAGCUCGUGUCGUGAGAUGUUGGGUUAAGUCCCGCAACGAGCGCAACCCUUAUCUUUAAUUGCCAACAGGUUAUGCUGGGAACUUUAAAGAAACUGCCAAUGGAGAAUUGGAGGAAGGUGAGGAUGACGUCAAGUCAGCAUGGCCCUUAUGACUUGGGCUACACACGUGUUACAAUGGUAGUUACAAUAUGAUGCAAUAGGGCGACCUGGAGCAAAUCUAAAAAACCUACCUCAGUUCGGAUUGCACCCUGCAACUCGGGUGCAUGAAGUUGGAAUCGCUAGUAAUCGCAGAUCAGCACGCUGCGGUGAAUACGUUCCCGGGUCUUGUACACACUGCCCGUCAAGCCAUGGAAGUUAAAUUUUCCUUAAGUAAAUGAGCUAACUGCAAAGAGGCAGUUUACCAAGGAGAAUUUGAUGACUGGGGUUAAGUCGUAACAAGGUAGCCGUAGGGGAACCUGCGGCUGGAUUACCUCCU
rnacentral:rRNA from 1 species